CACGUAGGGUGCGAGCGUUGUCCGGAAUUAUUGGGCGUAAAGAGCUUGUAGGCGGUGUGUCGCGUCGGCCGUGAAAACCUGCAGCUUAACUGUGGGCUUGCGGUCGAUACGGGCAUCACUGGAGUUCGGCAGGGGAGACUGGAAUUCCUGGUGUAGCGGUGAAAUGCGCAGAUAUCAGGAGGAACACCGGUGGCGAAGGCGGGUCUCUGGGCCGAUACUGACGCUGAGGAGCGAAGGCGUGGGGAGCAAACAGG
rnacentral:rRNA from 1 species